rnacentral:ncRNA from 1 species
AUUGUGACACAAGUGCGUUAGAUCAAUAAUAAUUUGAGGAGAGUAUGAUCAGAUUAUUAAUUUCGUCAAGUGCAAGUUUUAAUAGCGAAACAUACUCAUAUUUUCACCUUGACAGGAUUAUACUGAAGAAUGACUCCAAGAGGGAUCAUUGGACAUUGAACAUAGUAAAUUCAGGAAAUUUUGAAUUUAAUUUAGUAUUAAUUUUGGUAUUUUCAAAUGAAAUCGGACACCUUUAAAGAUCUACUAGAAACGCAAUGAAAAAUUCAGAAAAGAACAAAAAUAUAUUUUAGGAAAGGCGUAAAUUGUAAUAUACAUACUGCAGGCCUUUCAUCUCCAUUAAUGCAAUUGGAGUAAAAAUUGCUCCAAGUUGUUCAGACUUAAUAUUUCAAUUGUGUCUGAUAGCGAACGAGACACGGCCUGGUAAUUAGUGCGUUUGUUCAGUGCACCAUCUGAGCAGUGCAAUGUAAACUGCAUGAAUCUAGUGUGGGUUCUAGUGUGUUUGUACACCCUGUAUGAUCGUACUGUUCUGCAGUGAGCCAUAUUAGGGCCACAUGCUGUACUCGGGUAGAUGGCAUCACGUUAGAUAUCAGGUACGACACGAAUUUUUACUUCUGGUAAAGACACGCGGAGGAAGCCGCACGAAAUAGAGCAAUAACAGGUCUGUUAUGCCCAUAGAUGUUUGGCGCCGCCCCCACGCCACAAUGGCGAUGCUAAUUACUCACACCUUCUGGCCUGAUAAGGUUGGGUAAACUGGUCAGUCAUCGCCAUAACAAGGGUCGGUGCUGACAAUUGUUACCCAGAGAGGAGAAAUUCCUAGUAAAUGCAAGUCAUAAGUUUGCACUAAUUAGGUCUCCCUCUUCGUGCACACAGCCCCCUGCCACUUCCAAUUGAAUGGUUUAGUAAUGUUCGUGGAUUGGGGUCAUUAAGGUGACCCCAAGAUGUUCCCUAAGAUGUGUACCUGGCCGAUGCCGAGAAGACCACUAAACUUGACCGAUUCGGGGAAGUGAAAUUCGUAACAAAGUUUGCAUAGGUGAACAGGCGGAAGGUUCCUCA